rnacentral:rRNA from 1 species
GACGAACGCUGGCGGCGUGCCCAAUACAUGCAAGUCGAGCGGACUUAGAAAGCUUGCUUUCUAAGUUAGCGGCGGACGGGUGAGUAACACGUAGGUAACCUGCCUUGUAGACUGGGAUAACAUCGAGAAAUCGGUGCUAAUACCUGAUAUUUCAAAAACAGCGCAUGGUGAGUUUGAGAAAGGUGGCGCAAGCUACCCCUACGCGAUGGACCUGCGGCGCAUUAGCUAGUUGGUGAGGUAACGGCUCACCAAGGCGAUGAUGCGUAGCCGACCUGAGAGGGUGAUCGGCCACACUGGGACUGAGACACGGCCCAGACUCCUACGGGAGGCAGCAGUAGGGAAUCUUCCGCAAUGGACGAAAGUCUGACGGAGCAACGCCGCGUGAGUGAUGAAGGUUUUCGGAUCGUAAAACUCUGUUGUUAGGGAAGAACAAGUAGCAUUCAAAUAGGAUGCUACCUUGACGGUACCUAAUUAGAAAGCCACGGCUAACUACGUGCCAGCCGCCGCAGUAAGAC